rnacentral:rRNA from 1 species
AGAGUUUGAUCCUGGCUCAGAUUGAACGCUGGCGGCAUGCUUUACACAUGCAAGUCGAACGGUAACAGGCCGCAAGGUGCUGACGAGUGGCGAACGGGUGAGUAAUGCAUCGGAACGUGCCCAAUCGUGGGGGAUAACGCAGCGAAAGCUGUGCUAAUACCGCAUACGAUCUACGGAUGAAAGCGGGGGACUCGCAAGAGCCUCGCGCGAUUGGAGCGGCCGAUGUCAGAUUAGGUAGUUGGUGGGGUAAAGGCUCACCAAGCCAACGAUCUGUAGCUGGUCUGAGAGGACGACCAGCCACACUGGAACUGAGACACGGUCCAGACUCCUACGGGAGGCAGCAGUGGGGAAUUUUGGACAAUGGGCGCAAGCCUGAUCCAGCAAUGCCGCGUGCAGGAAGAAGGCCUUCGGGUUGUAAACUGCUUUUGUACGGAACGAAACGGUCUGGAUUAAUACCCUGGGCUAAUGACGGUACCGUAAGAAUAAGCACCGGCUAACUACGUGCCAGCAGCCGCGGUAAUACGUAGGGUGCGAGCGUUAAUCGGAAUUACUGGGCGUAAAGCGUGCGCAGGCGGUUUUGUAAGACAGUCGUGAAAUCCCCGGGCUCAACCUGGGAAUGGCGAUUGUGACUGCAAGGCUGGAGUGCGGCAGAGGGGGAUGGAAUUCCGCGUGUAGCAGUGAAAUGCGUAGAUAUGCGGAGGAACACCGAUGGCGAAGGCAAUCCCCUGGGCCUGCACUGACGCUCAUGCACGAAAGCGUGGGGAGCAAACAGGAUUAGAUACCCUGGUAGUCCACGCCCUAAANCGAUGUCAACUGGUUGUUGGGUCUCUUCUGACCUCAGUAACGAAAGCUAANCGCGUGAAGUGACCCGCCUGGA